rnacentral:tRNA from 1 species
AGAGAGGUGUCUGAGUGGUUGAAAGAGCUCGCCUGGAAAGCGUGUAUACCUAACGGUAUCGUGGGUUCGAAUCCCAUCCUCUCUGCCA